CCCACACUUAUUCUUUUGCCAAACACCUUCAAAGUACUUCACAAACAUUUCUCAUAAGACAAUCUCACAUUGCUCACUAGCUUGCUUGGAAAGGGUAAGGAAGAAUGUUUCAGGUAUAAGGGUAGACAUAUCUGGUGGUAAGAAAUAAAAGGCUCAACAUACACGGCUCAAAUUGGCAAUCUAAUGAUAUCAUUUUUAUUUGGGAAACAUGGUUAUUUGGGCCAUAGUGGUAAACCUAAUGCCUCUAUCAUUUCCAAGUUCAUGCAAUCAAUGACAAACAUUUCGAAAGAUCGUUACGCAAGUUCUAGAGAUGUAUCUCACAUAAGUUCAUCACACAUGAAAGAAUAAGAGUGUAUGAAAAAUGCACACACUUUCAAUAGGCUCAAAAACUCACAUAGGAUGUAUAUGGUCUCUAAAUUCACAUAUGACGCUUUAAUUCAUACUUUAGUUUCACAUUAACAAGGCUAUGUGCAUUUGGUUUUUCAAAGAUGGUCAAACAUGUACAAAA
rnacentral:lncRNA from 1 species